UUAAGCGACUAAGCGUACACGGUGGAUGCCCUGGCAGUCAGAGGCGAUGAAGGACGUGCUAAUCUGCGAUAAGCGUCGGUAAGGUGAUAUGAACCGUUAUAACCGGCGAUUUCCGAAUGGGGAAACCCAGUGUGUUUCGACACACUAUCAUUAACUGAAUCCAUAGGUUAAUGAGGCGAACCGGGGGAACUGAAACAUCUAAGUACCCCGAGGAAAAGAAAUCAACCGAGAUUCCCCCAGUAGCGGCGAGCGAACGGGGAGCAGCCCAGAGCCUGAAUCAGUGUGUGUGUUAGUGGAAGCGUCUGGAAAGGCGCGCGAUACAGGGUGACAGCCCCGUACACAAAAAUGCACAUGCUGUGAGCUCGAUGAGUAGGGCGGGACACGUGGUAUCCUGUCUGAAUAUGGGGACCAUCCUCCAAGGCUAAAUACUCCUGACUGACCGAUAGUGAACCAGUACCGUGAGGAAAGGCGAAAAGAACCCCGGCGAGGGAGUGAAAAGAACCUGAAACCGUGUACGUACAAGCAGUGGGAGCACGCUUAGGCGUGUGACUGCGUACCUUUGUAUAAUGGGUCAGCGACUUAUAUUCUGUAGCAAGGUUAACCGAAUAGGGGAGCCGAAGGAAACCGAGUCUUAACUGGGCGUUAAGUUGCAGGGUAUAGACCCGAAACCCGGUGAUCUAGCCAUGGGCAGGUUGAAGGUUGGGUAACACUAACUGGAGGACCGAACCGACUAAUGUUGAAAAAUUAGCGGAUGACUUGUGGCUGGGGGUGAAAGGCCAAUCAAACCGGGAGAUAGCUGGUUCUCCCCGAAAGCUAUUUAGGUAGCGCCUCGUGAAUUCAUCUCCGGGGGUAGAGCACUGUUUCGGCAAGGGGGUCAUCCCGACUUACCAACCCGAUGCAAACUGCGAAUACCGGAGAAUGUUAUCACGGGAGACACACGGCGGGUGCUAACGUCCGUCGUGAAGAGGGAAACAACCCAGACCGCCAGCUAAGGUCCCAAAGUCAUGGUUAAGUGGGAAACGAUGUGGGAAGGCCCAGACAGCCGGAUGUUGGCUUAGAAGCAGCCAUCAUUUAAAGAAAGCGUAAUAGCUCACUGGUCGAGUCGGCCUGCGCGGAAGAUGUAACGGGCUAAACCAUGCACCGAAGCGCGGCAGCGACGCUGAUGCGUUGUUGGGUAGGGGAGCGUUCUGUAAGCCUGCGAAGGUGUGCUGUGAGGCAUGCUGGAGGUAUCAGAAGUGCGAAUGCUGACAUAAGUAACGAUAAAGCGGGUGAAAAGCCCGCUCGCCGGAAGACCAAGGGUUCCUGUCCAACGUUAAUCGGGGCAGGGUGAGUCGACCCCUAAGGCGAGGCCGAAAGGCGUAGUCGAUGGGAAACAGGUUAAUAUUCCUGUACUUGGUGUUACUGCGAAGGGGACGGAGAAGGCUAUGUUGGCCGGGCGACGGUUGUCCCGGUUUAAGCGUGUAGGCUGGUUUUCCGCAAAUCCGGAAAAUCAAGGCUGAGGCGUGAUGACGAGGCACUACGGUGCUGAAGCAACAAAUGCCCUGCUUCCGUGAAAAGCCUCUAAGCAUCAGGUAACAUCAAAUCGUACCCCAAACCGACACAGGUGGUCAGGUAGAGAAUACCAAGGCGCUUGAGAGAACUCGGGUGAAGGAACUAGGCAAAAUGGUGCCGUAACUUCGGGAGAAGGCACGCUGAUAUGUAGGUGAAGCGACUUGCUCGUGGAGCUGAAAUCAGUCGAAGAUACCAGCUGGCUGCAACUGUUUAUUAAAACACAGCACUGUGCAAACACGAAAGUGGACGUAUACGGUGUGACGCCUGCCCGGUGCCGGAAGGUUAAUUGAUGGGGUCAGCGCAAGCGAAGCUCUUGAUCGAAGCCCCGGUAAACGGCGGCCGUAACUAUAACGGUCCUAAGGUAGCGAAAUUCCUUGUCGGGUAAGUUCCGACCUGCACGAAUGGCGUAAUGAUGGCCAGGCUGUCUCCACCCGAGACUCAGUGAAAUUGAACUCGCUGUGAAGAUGCAGUGUACCCGCGGCAAGACGGAAAGACCCCGUGAACCUUUACUAUAGCUUGACACUGAACAUUGAGCCUUGAUGUGUAGGAUAGGUGGGAGGCUUGGAAGUGUGGACGCCAGUCUGCAUGGAGCCGACCUGAAAUACCACCCUUUAAUGUUUGAUGUUCUAACGUUGACCCGUAAUCCGGGUUGCGGACAGUGUCUGGUGGGUAGUUUGACUGGGGCGGUCUCCUCCUAAAGAGUAACGGAGGAGCACGAAGGUUGGCUAAUCGGUCGGACAUCAGGAGGUUAGUGCAAUGGCAUAAGCCAGCUUGACUGCGAGCGUGACGGCGCGAGCAGGUGCGAAAGCAGGUCAUAGUGAUCCGGUGGUUCUGAAUGGAAGGGCCAUCGCUCAACGGAUAAAAGGUACUCCGGGGAUAACAGGCUGAUACCGCCCAAGAGUUCAUAUCGACGGCGGUGUUUGGCACCUCGAUGUCGGCUCAUCACAUCCUGGGGCUGAAGUAGGUCCCAAGGGUAUGGCUGUUCGCCAUUUAAAGUGGUACGCGAGCUGGGUUUAGAACGUCGUGAGACAGUUCGGUCCCUAUCUGCCGUGGGCGCUGGAGAACUGAGGGGGGCUGCUCCUAGUACGAGAGGACCGGAGUGGACGCAUCACUGGUGUUCGGGUUGUCAUGCCAAUGGCACUGCCCGGUAGCUAAAUGCGGAAGAGAUAAGUGCUGAAAGCAUCUAAGCACGAAACUUGCCCCGAGAUGAGUUCUCCCUGACCCUUUAAGGGUCCUGAAGGAACGUUGAAGACGACGACGUUGAUAGGCCGGGUGUGUAAGCGCAGCGAUGCGUUGAGCUAACCGGUACUAAUGAACCGUGAGGCUUAACCU
rnacentral:rRNA from 1 species